rnacentral:ncRNA from 2 species
UGUUCUGGGAUGAGUCCGGUUCGUUUUCAUAUCCAGACGUUCCGGUUAAGGGAAGUCGGUUAAAUUCCGGCGCUGUCCCGCAACUGUGAAGGGAACGAAAACCGCGGUCGGCCACUGUCCGAAUGGAUGGGAAGGUGCGGUGAGUAGGCGGAAAAUCAGGAAUGGCUCGCGUGGGCGUAACUGUUUUAAUCCCGUUGCUGUUCUAACUUUUUCCACCGGGCGUUGCCCGGGCCCCAAGCCAGGAGACCUGGCCGGAACGGAAACACCUU